ACUGAACUGAAGACAGUGAAGCCUGGUGGAGCAUCAUGACUUGGAGAUGUUUCUCGGGUCUGUUGAUCACAUCCCAGGAUCAGGGAUCAGUUUGAACACAUCAGAACAUUUGAAGAGGAUAUGUCCUUCAAAUGGGUUUUUCUACACACAA